rnacentral:rRNA from 1 species
AGAGUUUGAUCCUGGCUCAGGACGAACGCUGGCGGCGUGCUUAACACAUGCAAGUCGAGCGAAGCAGCUGUUUGGAAUCCUCCGGGAGGAAAAACAUCUGACUGAGCGGCGGACGGGUGAGUAACGCGUGGGGAACCUGCCUUAUACCGGGGGAUAACAGCUGGAAACGGCUACUAAUACCGCAUAAGCGCACGGCACCGCAUGGUGCAGUGUGAAAAACUCCGGUGGUAUAAGAUGGACCCGCGUUAGAUUAGCUUGUUGGCGGGGUAACGGCCCACCAAGGCGACGAUCUAUAGCCGGCCUGAGAGGGCGACCGGCCACAUUGGGACUGAGACACGGCCCAAACACCUACGGGAGGCAGCAGUGGGGAAUAUUGCACAAUGGGCGAAAGCCUGAUGCAGCGACGCCGCGUGAGCGAAGAAGUAUUUCGGUAUGUAAAGCUCUAUCAGCAGGGAAGAAAAUGACGGUACCUGACUAAGAAGCCCCGGCUAACUACGUGCCAGCAGCCGCGGUAAUACGUAGGGGGCAAGCGUUAUCCGGAUUUACUGGGUGUAAAGGGAGCGUAGACGGCAGUGCAAGUCUGGAGUGAAAGCCUGGGGCUUAACCCCGGAACUGCUUUGGAAACUGUGCUGCUUGAGUACCGGAGGGGUAAGCGGAAUUCCUAGUGUAGCGGUGAAAUGCGUAGAUAUUAGGAGGAACACCAGUGGCGAAGGCGGCUUACUGGACGGUAACUGACGUUGAGGCUCGAAAGCGUGGGGAGCAAACAAGAUUAGAUACCCUGGUAGUCCACGCCGUAAACGAUG